rnacentral:tmRNA from 1 species
GGGGCUGACCAGGUUUCGACGUGGGUUACAAAGCAGUGCAGGGCAUACCGAGGCUCAGAUUACCUCGUAAAUACAGCUGAAACAAGUAUAGUCGCAAACGACGAAACUUACUCUCUAGCAGCUUAGUUCUGCUGGACGCUACACCAGCUCUCCCGUGGGUUGGAUUGGGGAAACCCAUACGUAGUGUCAUAUACACGGGAUACGUGUUGUGUUGGGUUACUUAACACUUCAUUAACCUUAAGGUAACUCGUCUGUACACUGCUUGUCUGUUGGUG